rnacentral:rRNA from 1 species
UACGAAGGGGGCUAGCGUUGCUCGGAAUCACUGGGCGUAAAGGGUGCGUAGGCGGGUCUUUUAAGUCAGGGGUGAAAUCCUGGAGCUCAACUCCAGAACUGCCUUUGAUACUGAAGAUCUUGAGUUCGGGAGAGGUGAGUGGAACUGCGAGUGUAGAGGUGAAAUUCGUAGAUAUUCGCAAGAACACCAGUGGCGAAGGCGGCUCACUGGCCCGGUACUGACGCUGAGACGCGAAAAGCGUGGGGAGCGAACAGG